GGGGAAGUGUCGGAACUGGUAGACGAGCAUGACUUAGGAUCAUGCGCCGUACCGGCGUGCGGGUUCGAGUCCCGCCUUCCCCACCG
rnacentral:tRNA from 1 species